CUCAUAUCACCUGCAUCUCUCCGUCAUUCAAACGCAAUCAUAAUACCCUCUUCUAAUCGCCAGGUUCUGCCUCUGUAUCUCUGAGCACUCUUUACAAUGUCUCUUCUUCUCAAAUCGGUCCCUCUCAUAACCCUCUGCUGCAAACGUUCCCUUCCUCUUCUUCACACUAUCUUCAAACACCAUUUUCCGAAAUCAAUUCACAAAAACUCAAGAAAUGUUUUCUCUGUUUCUGCUUCUACUUCUACUUCUUCUCCUACUCCUUCCACGGAGACCCUUCCCAAAGCACCAUCAGUAGCUUUUAAGACAGCUCUCGAUUGGGUUUCCCGUACUGGGUUUUGCGGUGAUUUGUCUGUUAACGAUGUGGGUAAGCGUGUCCGUCUUUGUGGGUGGGUCGCCCUCCAUAGGGUCCAUGGUGGGCUCACUUUUCUCAAUCUCAGAGACCACACUGGUAUUGUCCAGGUUACGACGCUUCCUGAUGACUUUCCUGAUGCCCAUUCUCUUAUAAAUGACUUGAGGCUGGAAUAUGUGAUAGCUGUAGAAGGUGUGGUUCGGUCUCGGCCUAGCGAGUCUGUUAAUAAGAAAAUGAAAACUGGCUUAAUUGAGGUUGCUGCAGAGCAUGUUCAAGUAUUGAAUGCAGUGAGAUCCAAGUUACCGUUUUUAGUUACCACGGCUGAUGAUGCUAAAGAGUCUGUAAAAGAGGAGAUCCGUUUGAGAUUCCGAUGCCUUGAUUUACGACGACAACAGAUGAAUUUUAACAUGAUGUUGCGACACAGAGUGGUGAAACUCAUUCGAAGAUAUCUAGAGGAUGUGUAUGGUUUUGUGGAGGUAAACCAUGUGAAAUCUGGUAGAUUGAGACUCCAAUACUUUCGAGAUCUACUCCAGAAGGUGCUCGAGAUUAUUUGGUGCCCUCGAGAGUUCAGGUAUUUGCCAUUUAUCGGGUAGCCAUUAAAAUUUUAUGAAAUUCUCCUAUAUCUGGAGUAACUAGCAGAUGAUUAUGUACAAAUGCCUCUUGAGUAUGUUCAUAAUGAGGUGUAUCGUUGCUGGACUCAUAUGGGAGAAAUUAUGUAUAGCUGAAGGAAACAAAUCUGCUUAUAUCAGUCUCCCCCUAACAAUUUUGGCAUUAUUUGGCUGAUAAUUACAUUAUUUAUUGAUGAAUAUACUUGAACAUAGGUUUUCGUAGAUUGUAGCUAGUGUUACUUGUGAUACUUUGUCGGCUUGUCCAUUGCUUGCUGCUAUGAUUCAAUUUAAUGUGUAUUUUGAAGCGAGGAACAUUCUAUGCUUUGCCCCAAAGUCCUCAACUCUUUAAGCAAAUGCUGAUGGUUUCCGGUUUUGACAGAUAUUAUCAAAUUGCAAGAUGCUUUAGAGAUGAAGAUCUAAGGGCUGAUAGACAACCUGAGUUCACUCAGCUAGAUAUGGAGCUAGCUUUCACUCCCUUAGAGGAUAUGCUGAGGCUCAAUGAAGAUUUGAUUCGAAAGGUUUUCCUGGAGAUUAAAGGUGUCCAUCUGCCAAACCCUUUCCCAAGGCUUACAUAUGUUGAAGCUAUGAAUCGUUAUGGUACAGAUAGGCCAGAUACAAGAUUUGAUCUUGAGUUGAAAGAUGUGUCUGAUAUUUUUGUAGAGUCUCCCUUCAGGGUGUUUGCAGAUAGCUUGAAAAAUGGGGGAAUUAUCAAAGUAUUAUGUGUGCCUUCAGGUGCUAAGAGUUAUUCAAAUACAGCUCUGAAGAAAGGUGACAUUUACAAUGAAGCGAUCAAGUCUGGGGCAAAGGGAUUACCCUUUCUUAAGGUCUUAGAUGACGGGGAGGUUGAGGGAAUUCCUGCACUAGUGUCAAGUUUGGAUCCGACAAGUAAAGAACAGUUGCUGAGACGAUGCUCUGCAGGACCAGGGGAUCUUAUAUUGUUUGCAGUGGGUCGUCAUGCAUCAGUUAAUAAAACUUUAGACCGACUAAGGAUGUUUGUAGGCAAUGAGAUGGAUUUGAUUGACCAUGUAUGUUUUACCUGUCUGGAUUGUAAUAUUUUAUAACCAUUGGUUCUGUCUUUUUGUCUCAGAUUUUUCCUGUUCUUUGUUUGAUAUUUUAGUCCAGGCAUUCCAUUCUAUGGGUGACUGAUUUCCCGAUGUUUGAGUGGAAUGAUUCAGAGCAAAGGCUUGAGGUUCGUAAUGAAAUAAGUGGUGCAUUUUUUUUUUGUUCAUUUUAAUUUUCAUAUUGAGUACACACAUGAACUAGUGACUAUUUUCAUUUAGUGGUACUGCGAGUGUUGUUCUUCCCCUGAACCAUUAUGAGGUAAAUAAACUACCCAUUAAUUUAAAUUGUGGAUUCCUACCUCAAAACUUUGGAAUAUUGAAUUAUUGUGCUUCUGCCUGAGAAGAUGAGAAGUGCUAUCUUGCUACACACUUCUUUUGCAUUAGUGUUAUUAGCAUUGACUAGUAACAUUGGUUUCCUUGUAUCUUUACCCUCGAGUUAGGUCAAGGAAUUUGCACAAUAAAGAUAAAAAAUAAUUAAAAUUAAACUUGUACUUAUCUUUUCUAUCCGUCAGUUGGAACUCAUGUUGUAUUGCAGGCUUUGCAUCACCCAUUUACGGCACCCAAACCUGAAGACGUGGAAGACCUUCCCUCUGCUCGUGCCCUUGCUUAUGACAUGGUUUACAAUGGGGUUGAGAUUGGUGGAGGAAGUUUGAGAAUUUAUAAACGUGAAGUCCAACAAAAGGUUUUGGAAAUUGUUGGCAUCUCCCCUGAACAGGCUGAAGCAAAAUUUGGAUAUCUUCUGGAGGCUUUAGACAUGGGUGCUCCUCCACAUGGGGGAAUUGCAUAUGGUUUGGAUAGAUUGGUUAUGUUGUUGGCCGAUGCUAAUUCCAUCAGGGAUGUCAUUGCUUUCCCAAAGACCACAACUGCACAGUGUGCCCUUACUCGGGCGCCGUCAGAGGUUGAUCCUCAACAGCUAAAAGAUCUAUCUUUUCAAACCCAAUAGUUUUCUUUUCAUUCUAAUAUAAUUGAGUUUGUGCCCUCUUCACUCACUCCAGUUUUGGUUUCUGAGGCGAUUAUGUACGAUGUAUCAUGGAAUGGAACAAUAUUUGUAACAAUAUAUUUAAUGUUGUUAUAAUUUUCUCAAACUCUUCAGGAGGUUGCAUGAGGCAGUGUUUAACCAAUCAUUUGUAAUGUAAGGCUGCCUUUUGUUUUAUUUUCUAUAGAAGGUUUGCAUCCCUG
rnacentral:misc_RNA from 1 species